ACAGAAGGUGGGGAGUCUUCUAAAUGACUUGUAAUCACAGGACAAGGCUUUCUUCUCAGUUUUACAGUCAUCAUCUGAUAUGCACAUUUUGGGGCAGCGAGAAGGCUCAGUGAGUCAAGGUGCAUGCUGCCAAAACUAAUGACCUGUGUUUAAUCCCCACACGGUGGAAGGACAGAACCGAUCUCUGCAAGUUUCUCCUUGAUUUCCACACAGGAGACUGCACGCACCAAUAACUAAAUGUAUUUCUAUAUGAACCCAGGCUUGCUGUUGUGAUGGCAUUCUUUGAUGUCUCUCUUAUGGCUUCCACGGGGCGUAUUGGUCUCUGUCUGCAAGUAAAACCCUCAUUGCCACACAACAGGACAUUUAGAGUUUCCUAAUUCUUCAAAACCUUCAAUCUUUCAGGAGAGAUCGUUCAAUGUAUGCAAUCAGGAUUUUGGCUCAGGAAUGGAUGGGCUCACAUAUCCCAUUAGUUCUGAAGGAUCUAGGCUGGACUUGCUGAGGAGAAGAUGCUCUUCUUCCAAGGAGGGUCGAGUUGCUGAUUGUUGGCCGAUGAAACAGAAGAAUCUCGACUACAACACGACCUUUGCAAGCAGGGACAUUUAUACACACUGGAGUGCCAUGAAGACCUACUGCUGUGUUUUGCUGCAAAUUAUCUCUCCUAACAUGGUUUGGAACUCAUUUGUUGCCUUGUAGCAAUUACCAUGUCUAUGCUAGGAACUCCCAAGGGCUACAUAAGGCCAAGGUCUCAACUUACAUCCAAGUAAGGACUAGUAUAUUCAGGAAAUAAAAAGAUAUAUGUAGGCCAGCCUAAGAGAAAUAAAUAUAUCCACCCAAAAAUGACAAGUCAUAGAAACUUUUUAUCAAGGCACCUUAAAAAUUGAAAACUCAGAUGUCGUCAUUCCAGAGCAGAAAGAGAGAAUGAAUUAUGGUGUGCUCACAGCAUCAAAAACUAUGCAGUAAUAAAGAAGACUGAACUUUUGGUA